ACGGCUCAGUAACACGUGGACAACCUACCCAAAGGUCUGGGAUAACUCCGGGAAACUGGGAAUAAUACCGGAUAGGUCAAGAGUACUGGAAGGGUUUUUUGAUUGAAAGCUCUGGCGCCUUUGGAUGGGUCUGCGGCUGAUUAGGUUGACGCCGGUGUAAAGUACCGGCGUGCCGAUUAUCAGUACGGGUUGUGGGAGCAAGAGCCCGGAGAUGGAUUCUGAGACACGAAUCCAGGCCCUACGGGGCGCAGCAGGCGCGAAAACUCUACAAUGCAGGCAACUGCGAUAGGGGAACAUCGAGUGGCAUCUACAUUAGGUGUCUGUCCAGCUGUCUAAAAAACGGCUGUUAGCAAGGGCCGGGCAAGACCGGUGCCAGCCGCCGCGGUAAUACCGGCGGCUCGAGUGGUGGCCGAUAUUAUUGAGUCUAAAGGGUCCGUAGCCGGCUUUGCAAGUCUUGUGGGAAAUCCAGCGGCUUAACCGUUGGGCGUCUGCGGGAUACUACAUUGCUUGGGACUGGGAGAGGUAGGAGGUACUCAGGGGGUAGGAGUGAAAUCCUGUAAUCCUCUGGGGACCACCGGUGGCGAAGGCGUCCUACCAGAACAGGUCCGACGGUGAGGGACGAAAGCUAGGGGCACGAACCGGAUUAGAUACCCGGGUAGUCCUAGCCGUAAACGAUGCCCGCUAGGUGUCACGGCAGUCGUGAACUGCCGUGGUGCCGUAGGGAAGCCGUGAAGCGGGCCACUUGGGAAGUACGACCGCAAGGUUGAAACUUAAAGGAAUUGGCGGGGGAGCAC
rnacentral:rRNA from 1 species